rnacentral:rRNA from 1 species
UACGAAGGGGGCUAGCGUUGCUCGGAAUCACUGGGCGUAAAGGGUGCGUAGGCGGGUCUUUUAAGUCAGGGGUGAAAUCCUGGAGCUCAACUCCAGAACUGCCUUUGAUACUGAAGAUCUUGAGUUCGGGAGAGGUGAGUGGAACUGCGAGUGUAGAGGUGAAAUUCGUAGAUAUCAUUUGGAACGCCAAUGGUGAAAACAACUCGCUGGGGAAGUGCUGACGCUGAGACACGAAAGCCAGGGGAGCGAACGGG